rfam:Plasmodium falciparum Vietnam Oak-Knoll (FVO) unplaced genomic scaffold supercont1.66, whole genome shotgun sequence.
UCCGCUGAAUAAAACUGCUAAAAUAUAAUUAAGCGGAAGAAAAGAAAAUAACUAUGAUUCCUUUAGUAACAGCGCGUGAAAAAGGAUAAGCUCAAUUUAGAGAAUCCUUCGAUUUUUUUUUAAAGGAAUUGUUGGAAUUGUUUCUUUUUUUUAUAUAAUAUACUCUAUAUGAUAACUGUUCUUUGGAUUAUAUAUUACGUAAUGUGUAUAUACAUCUAUUUUACAGGUACACAAGAGCAAGGAUAUUAAAAAAUAUAUAGGAAAUAUAAUGGAAAAUUGUCCCAAAGAGGGUGAAAGGCCCGUACUUGUUUUUAUAUCUACCUUGUGCUUAAAUUAGAGUUAAAAAUAAAGAAUGAGUUGUGUUUUAUGAAUAUGGGACACUAAUACGUGUGAUGGAUUUCACAUAAAGCUAAAUAUGUGUAGGAGACCGAUAGCAAACAAGUACCGUAAGG